rnacentral:ncRNA from 1 species
CAAAAGCUUGGUCCUGACUUUACUGUCAAUUUUGAUUAAAUUUAUACAUGCAAGUCUCCGCACUACUGUGAAAAUGCCCUACCUUCUUCCACCCUAGAAAAAAAGGAGCGGGUCUUAGGCACAACCCUACGUUAGCCCACAACACCUUGCUUAGCCACACCCACAAGGGGAUCCAGCAGUAAUAAACAUUAAGCCAUAAGUGAAAACUUGACUUACUUAGUAUCAAGAGGGCGGGUAAAGUUCGUGCCAGCCACCGCGGUUAUACGAUACGCCCAAAUUGACAGCCUUCGGCAAAAAGCGUGGUUAAUUAACACCAAAACUAAAGUCGAACCAAUUCAAACCUGUUAAAAGUUUACGAAAUGAAGAAGCCCAACAACGAAAGUGACUUUAAGGACAAUGAAUCCACGAAAGCUAUGGAACAAACUGGGAUUAGAUACCCCACUAUGCUUAGCCUCAAACAAAAAUAACUAAUAUUAUUCGCCAGGGUACAACGAGCGCCUCUCCCCGCUUACAACCCAAAGGACUUGGCGGUGCUUUAUCUCCCCCUAGAGGAGCCUGUUUUAGAAUCGAUGCUCCCCGAUCAACCUCACCUUCUUUUGCCCUCAGCUUAUAUACUACCGUCGCCAGCUUACCCUGCAAAGGACUACGAGUAAGCAUAAUCGGUUAACCCCAGAACGUCAGGUCAAAGUGUAGCCAACAAGAAGGAUAAAAUGGGCUACAUUUUCUGACCCAGAAAACAAACGAACCACAUACUGAAAUGCAUGUGUGAAGGAGGAUUUAGUAGUAAGAUUAGAAUAGAGUGCUAAUCUGAAAUCGGCUCUAAAGCGUGCACACACCGCCCGUCACCCUCCUUUAUAAAUCCCACAAUAUAUAAAUAAUGCGCCCCACCGAUUUGAUUACACAAGGAGGCAAGUCGUAACAUGGUAAGGGUACCGGAAGGUGCCCUUGGAAAAACACCC